AGGGAUUGAAAAGUUGUUUUUACCUAAAAUAUUUCACAAAAUAUUUCACGCCUGUUAAAUGGACGAUUAGUGACAAGUGCUCUGCCUCCGCAAGGUUUUGAUUGCCGUCAUCGCCGCCGUCUAUUAUUCCUUCCAACGUCUUCAUCCUCUCCACUUUCCUUGCCUUCACUGGUCUCGCUUAAUCCCUCAAGCUCCACACUUUGGUACUUUCCCUUUUUCUUUUUCUAUUUAUUGGCUUAGGCAUGCGGUGAAAGAGAAAAACCCCACCAAAUUCCCCUACUGACAUUUUUCAGAAACUUCUGAUAGUCUAUCCAUACUUCCAGGAAGCUUGAAAAAGCAAUAAAGCUUAAGCAAUGGCCAUUCCGUUUAUUAUAAACAAAGUUUUGUUGAAUAAAUCCGUCCAUAUCCAGCGACUACUUUCUAACCACCACCAUAUGCUUGAUCUUUUGUCAAUGAGAAGGAUGUGGUACCAACAAACCAUGUUUGGGUGGUUUCAAAUCAAACCAAUGACUUCCAGUAGACGAGUCCAAGACCGUAGCAAGAACAAAAGAAUUCACUAUCUCGAAAUUGUAAAAGAGAAAUGGAAAAUAUUAUCAAAAGUACUGUUUUUGAUGGAACUUUUAAAGAAAGAAACAGAGAUGGUUAUCCCCUUAAGGUCAUUGGACAGAUACAGGAAGCAACUUAAUUUGCCAAAACCACAUAAAAUAACUGAUUUUAUUAGGAAAUGUCCCAAGUUGUUUGAAUUAUACAAGGAUCAAAGGGGAACCUUAUGGUGUGGAAUGACUAAAGAAGCUGAGGAUUUGUUGGAAGAAGAGGAAAGGCUGAUUGAGGAACAAUCAACCAAAGCUGUUGAGUAUGUUACUAGGAUUUUAAUGAUGUCAGUUGAUAAAAGGAUUCAGUUAGAUAAGAUUGCUCAUUUUAGGAGAGAUUUUGGUUUGCCAAUUGAGUUUAGGACCAAGUGGGUGAAUCAGUAUCCCCAACAUUUUAGGGUGGAAAAAUCUAAAGAUGGGGUUGAGUUUUUGGAGCUUGUAAAUUGGAAUCCUGCUUGGGCUAUUACAGAGUUGGAGAAAAGAACAUUGGGUUUGAAUGAUGGGAUUGGACGUGAACCGGGUAUAAUUUCUUUGCCUUUUCCUUUGAAGUUCCCUCCUAACUACAAAAAGGUGUAUAGACAUGGAGGGAAGAUUGAGCAUUUUCAGAAAAGGUCUUAUUUGUCUCCCUAUGCAGCUGCUAGGGAGCUGAAAGCGGGGUCAUUGGAAUUUGAUAAGAGGGCGGUUGCAGUUAUGCACGAGUUACUUAGCUUUACCAUUGAGAAGAGAUUGGUGACUGACCAUCUCACUCAUUUUCGACGGGAACUUGUGAUGCCACAGAAAUUGAUGAGGCUUCUUUUGAAGCAUUUUGGCAUCUUUUAUGUUUCUGAAAGGGGGAAGAGGUUUAGUGUCUUCUUGACUGAAGCUUAUGAAGGUUCUGAGCUGAUUGAGAAAUGCCCAUUGUUGCUUUGGAAGGAAAAGGUCCUGAGCUUUAUUGGUUAUAGAGGAAAGAAGAAAGAGGUUCCUACUUUCAGUGACCUGUCAGACAUGGAGGAAAGGGAUAUAAUUGAGGAAAAGGAUAUAAUCGAGGGUGAUACUGAGAUGGAAGACACAUGUGCAGAUUUUGAGGAAGAAGAAAUCAUGGGUGGUUUAGAUGCUGUUUCACCUACUAAUGAUGAUGAGUUGGAGAUUUCUCAUGUUUGCAAUUCAUACAAAGGCACUAGUUAAACUUGAGGUUAUUUUCUUUUGCACGAUAUUCCCCUCUAUUCAGAUUGCAUGUUCAGCUAGCAGACGGGUUUAUAUAUACGGGUGCUUUUAUCUUGGAUGUUAGCAAUUCUAAUUUGCAAGAUUGCAUAAUAGCAUGAGUUCUCAGUACGAAAUCUUUCCUUCAACUUGGGAUGUCUGGGUUUUACAAUUGAAAAAGAGAACUCCUUCAACAGUGGAAAUAUUUAAAGUGAAAGGACAGCAGAAAAGUUCUGAGACAUGAAGGUCAUGGCAAGCAGCAAGAAAUUCGGCCAAUAACUGGAUCAUGUUCCAUUUUCAUACUGGUAACUCACAUACAAUUUCUUUGGCCAAACUAGAAUAUUUUGUAGAGUCUAUAGAUGCCUAAAGCAAAUCAUGUUAUUUUAGAUUUUAAUGAAUGUUUCUGUUGUGAUGAAUUAACCCUAUCCAGCAUACAAUCAAAUUUGAAAGCUACUGUUAUCUAAUUGCCGCCUUUUGCCAAAUGACAUCCUAUCAUAUCCUUUCAACCGGGAAAGAAACUGAUACGUGGUAGAACUUUUAUGAUUGUGACAUUUACGAUCUUGGAAAAGAUUGUUUUUAAAGCUAUAUUUAUAUUAUUCAGUCUAACCUAGCUAAGUUGAGUUGAGUAAAGCUUCCAUGGUCUCAUUCUCAACCAACUUGUUUAAAUGAACAUGGAAUUCUUAACUACACAUUUAGUGGUUUCACAUUGUCAAACUGGCAGGGCAGAGAGUGAGAGACUUUAUGCAUGCAAAUAACAAUGGUGAUGAUGAUGGAUAUCAUCUGAAUUAAGUGUAGUUAUAAUUAUUAAUACAAUAUAAGUAGGUUAUCUCUCAUGUUAUUCGUAUGUAUGCAAAAUGCGUGGAAGAAGAUAAUGAUGAUAUUUAGUUAUAGAAGAGGCGCAUUGAGCAAGCUUAAUGUGUAGUGUUACAAUUUCAAAUCCCUUGUUAUGUUUUCGCUAGACUUUGCUGAUUUUUAUGUUGAAAUGGUUUUUGUCAUGAGUUUUGAUGUAUUUUUCAUAUUUUGUAUACUUUUGCUUAAUUUAUCUAUUAAUUGAAAUGUACUAAAUAGAUAUCGGAACUUUUGAAUUGAUAAAAUUACCCAUUAUAGUAUUAA